rnacentral:rRNA from 1 species
UGGCCAGACUCCUACGGGAGGCAGCAGUGGGGGAUAUUGCACAAUGGGGGAAACCCUGAUGCAGCGACGCCGCGUGAGGGAAGACGGCCUUCGGGUUGUAAACCUCUGUCGCAGGGGACGAAGGAAGUGACGGUACCCUGUGAGGAAGCCACGGCUAACUACGUGCCAGCAGCCGCGGUAAUACGUAGGGGGCAAGCGUUGUCCGGAAUUACUGGGCGUAAAGGGCGCGUAGGUGGGCGCUUAAGUCAGGUGUGAAAACUCCGGGCUCAACCUGGAGACUGCACUUGAAACUGGGUGUCUUGAGGGCAGGAGAGGAGAGUGGAAUUCCUAGUGUAGCGGUGAAAUGCGUAGAUAUUAGGAGGAACACCAGUGGCGAAGGCGACUUUCUGGACUGUACCUGACGCUGAGGCGCGAAAGCGUGGGUAGCGAACGGGAUUAGAUACCCUGGUA